CUAAGCAUAUAACUCAUUUUUUAGGUUCCUGCACAAAUUCCUCUUGAUGAGGAACGCAUACCUAUUGGGAACGUCUACCCUGAGUUAUUAUACGCUCAUCUUUUGGAUGCAGAUGGUAGCCGCUUGACUUAUACCCACUUCACCAGCCGAGUGAAUUACCGAUCUUUAAUUGAAAUAUCCUUCAAUAGACCUGUCUACAUUCAGCGUAAUAAGGUUUACAAAGUAGGUGUAGUGCUCAAUAAAAUCGGCUGUUAUCCUAUCGGCAGCUAUCCUAACCAAUCCACUUGUAAUGGUGUGGUUUUCACUUUUUCACAAGGUCAAUGUGGUGAUUCUGUUAGAGAUGGUCUGAUCCGUUCAAUUGUUUUUUCUCAUUCGUCAGCUGGUAGUAAUAACUUGAUGCUCGGAAUGCCUGGCGAUCAUAAUAAAUUACAAAACUCUAUUAAUAUUAUUUAAAAAGUUUGGUAGAGUUUCAAAGAGUUCAUUACUCAUAUCUGAAAGUAUCGUUAGUAAGUAAAAUGAAGAAUUUUGUGUGGUAAAUUCACGAGGUAUAAUUGAAGGCAGUGUGACGCAACCGUUGGUUGUACAUUUACAAUAUAAUUAUUUGAACAGACGUGUUACACAAAAAUCAGAUACCUGAAAUAACCCAGGUAUCAGAUAGUUUUGCAUUAAAUUAUCUCGUGAAGGUAAAAAACUAUUUCACUUAUGUAAGUUUAGGGAGUACUUUUCAUAAGUAUUUAACCCUGUCCUGAGAUUAUUUGUAUUCAUUUUCUGUUAGGGUUUCUAGUUGAACAUUUUUCCAUGUAUCAUCAUAGUAAUGUCACAACCAUAGUUUAAAGUGUAAAUAAAUAUUUAGACCAUCA